UACGGGGGGAGCAAGCGUUGUUCGGAUUUACUGGGCGUAAAGGGCGCGUAGGCGGCCACCGCAAGUCGACUGUGAAAUCUCCGGGCUUAACCCGGAAAGGUCAGCCGAUACUGCGGGGCUAGAGUGCAGAAGGGGCAACUGGAAUUCUCGGUGUAGCGGUGAAAUGCGUAGAUAAUCGAGAGGAACACCUGCGGCGAAGGCGGGUGCUGGGCUGACACGUGACGUGAGGCGCGAAAGCUAGGGGAGCGAACGGG
rnacentral:rRNA from 1 species